GCCCCUUCGCCCUCCUGUCCGCGCCUCCUGCAGCUAACAUGGCGGCCCCCUGUGUGUCUUGUGGCGCAGCUGCUUCCUACCGGCUUUUUCUUGGGGGUAGGGUUAGCUUUGCCCGGGGACAGGGCCUUUGGAAAGCCGCGGCUGCUGAGCUGCAGAAGAGUACCGGAUGCCAGAUAUUAAGGCUAAGACACACCACAGCUGUAACAAGGAAAAAUGUUGCAGCCUUAAGACGUGAAACUUACACAGUGGAUUUUAUUAAAAAGCAGAUUGAAGAAUUCAACAUAGGAAAGAGACACUUAGCCAACAUGAUGGGAGAAGAUCCAGAAACUUUUACCCAAGAGGAUAUUGAUAGAGCGAUUGUUUACCUUUUUCCCAGUGGUUUGUUUGAGAAGCGAGCCCGGCCAAUAAUGAAGCAUCCUGAAGAGAUUUUUCCAAAACAAAGAGCAAUCCAGUGGGGAGAAGAUGGCCGCCCAUUUCAUUUUCUCUUUUAUACUGGCAAACAGUCAUAUUAUUCAUUAAUGCAUGAAACGUAUGGAAAGCUGCUAGAUGUAGAAAAACAUCAAGACCAGUUGCAAGCCAAAGGUCUGUUUUCAGAAAAAACUAAAACCAAAGACCCGAUUGGCAGCAGAUGGCUGAUUAAGGAGGAACUGGAAGAAAUGUUAGUGGAAAAACUGUCAGAUCAAGAUUACGCACAAUUCAUUCGGCUCCUGGAAAAGUUAUCUGCGUUGCCGUGUGGUGCGGCUAAAGAAGAAUUUGUGAGCAAGUUCCGCAGGAGUGUAACCAUCCAGUCGAAAAAACAGCUGAUUGAGCCUUUACAGUAUGAUGAGCAGGGGAUGGCCUUCAGCACAGGCCAAGGUAAUAGAAAGACUGCAAAGGCGGAAGCAGUUGUUUAUGGCCAUGGAAGUGGGAGGAUAGAAGUAAAUGGGGUCGACUACCUGCUCUACUUCUCAGUGAUACAGGACAGAGAACAGCUGAUGUUCCCUUUUCACUUCCUUGACCGGCUUGGAAAACACGACGUGACCUGCACGGUGUCGGGGGGCGGGCGGUCGGCGCAGGCUGGGGCCCUCCGCUUGGCGAUGGCCAGAGCCUUGUGCAGCUUUGUCACCGAGGAUGAGGUCGAGUGGAUGCGACAAGCUGGACUGCUUACUGUUGACCCCCGUGUCAGAGAGCGGAAGAAGCCAGGCCAAGAGGGAGCCCGCAGAAAGUUCACCUGGAAGAAGCGCUGAGUGGUUUUGGUGGGAAAGGAGAGGGACGCUGUGCACCUGACACGCGGGGGACACGCAGGGGACAGUUACUGCCGCAGUGGAGCAGCACCAUCAGAUGUUUGAGUUGAAAAACAAACAUGACGCUAUAGAUGGAGUCGCUGGGCGCUGUAAACACAAGGCUUCCACGUCUGUUAAGAUGUCCAGGCUACACUCCACUCAGCAGCCCCACAGACAUGGUUGCUCAGCCCUCACGUCACGGGAGGUGGCAACCAGCGAGGAGCUCUCAGUGUCUACAAGGGAGGGUCAGCAGAUUGUGUUUGCUCAGAUGAACGUCAAGCGCCUGUACCAGGAAGGCUGUGACCCAUUCCCCCAAGUUAACAGUCAAGGAGCCAUGAAAAUCAUCACCAUCAUCUCACAAAAAUACUGCUACCUUCUUUGGUGACCAGCUUUGGGCUACAGAAAUUUUUCUUCUUAAUCUAAGCCUUUGGUUAAAACACAAUAAACUGAUUACUAAAAAUUCAAAGUAAUCUUUGAGCCCUAAGCUAUAAAAACUACUGAGCUUCAAUACUGAGCAAAAUCUUGUCAAAGAAUUUUUUUGUCAUUUGUUAGAAGAUAUAAAUUACAUAGAAAUGCAGAAUGUGGAAAAAAAUAUUUUAAAAGAAGAAUUCAGUCAUAUCACUGUAUUACUUUGUUCAACACAGGCCGUUAGCUUUUUAAAC